CCUACGGGAGGCAGCAGUGAGGAAUAUUGGUCAAUGGCCGAGAGGCUGAACCAGCCAAGUAGCGUGAGGGAAGAAUGUCCUAUGGAUUGUAAACCUCUUUUGUCAGGGAGCAAAGUCACCCACGUGUGGGUGUUGGAGAGUACCUGAAGAAAAAGCAUCGGCUAACUCCGUGCCAGCAGCCGCGGUAAUACGGAGGAUGCGAGCGUUAUCCGGAUUUAUUGGGUUUAAAGGGUGCGUAGGCGGGUUACCACGUCAGCGGUAAAAUCGUGGGGCUCAACUCGAUGCAGCCGUGGAAACUGAUGGUCUUGAGUGCGCGAGAAGUAGGCGGAAUGCGUGGUGUAGCGGUGAAAUGCAUAGAUAUCACGCAGAACUCCGAUUGCGAAGGCAGCAUGCCGGCGCCCGACUGACGCUGAGGCACGAAAGCGUGGGUAUCGAACAGGAUUAGAUACCCCGGUAGUC
rnacentral:rRNA from 1 species